rnacentral:rRNA from 1 species
GAUGAACGCUGGCGGUGUGCCUAAUACAUGCAAGUCGAGCGAACAGACGAGGAGCUUGCUCCUCUGACGUUAGCGGCGGACGGGUGAGUAACACGUGGAUAACCUACCUAUAAGACUGGGAUAACUUCGGGAAACCGGAGCUAAUACCGGAUAAUAUAUUGAACCGCAUGGUUCAAUAGUGAAAGACGGUUUUGCUGUCACUUAUAGAUGGAUCCGCGCCGCAUUAGCUAGUUGGUAAGGUAACGGCUUACCAAGGCAACGAUGCGUAGCCGACCUGAGAGGGUGAUCGGCCACACUGGAACUGAGACAUGGUCCAGACUCCUACGGGAGGCAGCAGUAGGGAAUCUUCCGCAAUGGGCGAAAGCCUGACGGAGCAACGCCGCGUGAGUGAUGAAGGUCUUCGGAUCGUAAAACUCUGUUAUUAGGGAAGAACAAAUGUGUAAGUAACUAUGCACGUCUUGACGGUACCUAAUCAGAAAGCCACGGCUAACUACGUG